AGGGAAGAGAGGGCUUAAUUAUUUGUUAUCCAAAAUUUCGUGACUGCGUUAGUUAAUUCCUUGCUAGAAUUAUCGUCGGUGACACGGGAGUCUGUAUAUGACUCGGAAUGAAAUGUGAAAAAAGGGAAAACGAAAUUAAGAAUGUGUUUUGAAAGCUGAAAUAAGUUGUUUAUGUUGGUGUUCCGAGGCUGAACGUCCGAGGGUAAUGUCAUGUGAUUUGAAAGGAGGGGCAUAAACGCUACAGAAUUAUUGUUUCUGGUAUUUCUAGUAUUUUCGUGCACGGUUCUACAUACCUGAGUGAUUGACAGGUUCUGGACAUAUUACUCUUUAUUUAAUUCAGAAAGUUUUGUAACUAAGAAAAUGACAUGGAACAGCCAGUAAAAACUUGAGAAACAGAAAAAAAAGAAAAGAAGGAAAUGUAUGCUGAAAAUUAUUAGACAGAAAACACGGAAAAGUAGAUCAUUGUAAGUCAAUAUAAGUGAAUAACAAAUGUGAAGUAAGAAGUUAACCAUAAUGCCAUACAACGAGAGAAGAGUUCAGAAAGUCAGAAAGAAAGCUACAGGAACCACACUAGUCUUGGCAAUUCAUUUUCUACGCUUCUGAGGCGUCUAGACCCCCCCCCCCAGUGCUGAUUCGAUUCUACACUGAGGGGGCGCAAGGAACCCCGCAACUAUGGCUGCCCUUCCCGCCCAACCUCUUCCGGUUCAGGCCUCUGGUUCACGCCCUCCGACCCUACCCCUGACGCGAGACGUGGUGAACAAUUUCCGGUUCCAGGUCGCCGUCAUGCUGAAGGGCCAGCGCGUCCUCGUGGAGGCCUUCCGGUGGAAUUACCAAGGGGGCUCCUCGGUCAAAGAUUUUCUGCUGCAGAAAUUCGGGACCAACAAGAGGAUGAAGGAGAUCUUCAACAAGGACCAGAGAGAUGUCCUCGACUCAGGAAAGCCUUGCGAAGAAUAUGACAUCUCGCUUCUCAACAUUUUAUUUCAACAUGCAUGCGGGACGGCUGGCACUGCGACAGAUGGCGCCGGACAGUCCCUGGGAAAGCUCGUCCACGAACUGAAACAGGAGCGCAACGACAUCUCGCAUGUCAAUAAGAUACUCCCGAUGACGGAUCAGGACCUCCUGGCAAAGCUAGUGAGGCUGGAGACUUUACUGUGUAACAUUGCUAGACUGGCUGGGAGUCAUUCGGGAACACGAUCUGACAUUAUCGACGACUUGAUUUCUGAAAUACAAGACGAUUUUAAGGAGUUGAUGACGAAGGUUCGGGAACCUUUAAGCACAUCUGACUAUAAUAUGCUCCCGCAACUGCAGCAGGAAAUCAAACUUUUUCAAAAUGUUCUUCAAAAUAAGGUAGAACAGGACAGUCGACUGGAAUUGGAAUCUGUUUACUCUCAGAUGUGGGACGUGGCUCUCGUGCAGUGGCUCUAUCCAGACCAAGCAAUACGCCCCAGUCUAAACUUCACUAAUCUGGUUAUUAAGGAGGACACGUCCAGUUCUAUGCCAUCGCAACAACACCAGCCUCGCAUUAUAUCCCACACCGAUAUUCUGGAAGUUAGACGUCGAGAUGGGGGUCUUCCAGAUGUGCUGGUGAUUUCUGCAGAUGGAGGAAUGGGGAAAACCACAUUGUUAAAGUACAUGAUGGAGAAAUGGGUGACCGACCCCUUGCCAUUCAAGGGUCUCCGAGAAGUCUCGGCUUUGUUGUACUUGCAACUCCGAGGUUCGACGGUGGGCAGCUGGCAGGAACUGUUAGAGAAUCUGCUUGGCAAGACACUCAUUGAUUCUGGAUUAAUGGUGAGUGAUUUUGUAAAAAUGUUUCUGAAAAUGAAGACGGUUGUCCUCCUCGAUGGCUUUGAUGAGGGCAACAAGGAAUCCAAGAAAUUGAUAAAAGAGCUGGUUAACCUUGCGGGCAACUUACGCAUUGUAAUAACAACCAGACCAGAGACAGUGGACCCUUUGACCCAGAUUGUACGAGCUAAGAAGAAAGGCAUGAACCUGGAAGUGAAAGGGAUUCGUAGGGAAGACCGGCCCUUCUUUGUCCAAAAUACCCUGAACUGCAUCGUUCAGGCCCCUGGUGCAGUGAAUGAUUUGAAAGUUAAAAUUCUUGAAAAACUGGAUUCUUUGCAGCUGGGAAAUUAUGACCUAGACGUUCCCCUCACCCUAGUCCUGCUGAUCAUACUCGAGGUCGAAAUGCCCGAACAAAGCAGUGCCAACUCCGGGUUGAUAACGGACGUCUUUUCAGAGUUGACAAAGCUCAUGAUUGGCAAGUGUGCAGAAAGACUAACCCUAAAGGAUGUAGAUGAUGCAGUAGACAAAAUCGUAGAAUAUCAUGACUUUCUGGAAGAGCUGGCUUUCAAAGGUCUGACGAGAAAUGAACAUGAUUUGUUGCCAGCAAGUGUGGCGGCGUUGAAGACAAAGUGCAAAGAUCUAGAACUGCCUGACAAAGAACUGUUCUCUGGCUUUUUCAGUUCAAAAAGAACCCGGAGGGGCUUACAAACUGUACUCAUUUGGUCUUAUCCACAUAACCGUUUCCAGGAGCAUUGGGCAGGGAGCUAUGUGAUGAAGCGUCUACUACAUACACCGAGAUUGCCUGAUUUGUCGUGGUUACUGGACCUGGAAACUAUGACUGGACUUAUGGAGGCCAAUAUCACACAGAAAGAACUAGAGCAGAAUCCUGUCCUAAAAAUCAUUCUCGAAGGUUAUGAAAGUAAUGUGGCCAAGAUCUCAACACACCCAAAUAUUCAAAAUGUUUUGUGCUGUGUGACCGGUCUCCUUGCCGACCCCUAUCUUGAUACUAUUGAUGCUGAAGCGCGCCUGGGUUUGUUGGAAAACCUGAUCCCAGCUUUGCUGAGGCUGGUAAACUUUGGAUUAACUUUCAAGAACUUCUUCUCGGAUUUUUCAGCACCAAAAUGUAAUUAUUUUGAUGCCGUCUACAGGCACAUGGUAGAGUCUCGGUGGCAGAAAAGCGUAGUUGAUGCGUGUGCCAGGGUUCUGAGGAAACAUGAAACAUGGAGCACCAGCGGAGAUGGCUUCCAUGGCCUUCUACUAGUUCUUGAGCAUGUAACCCCAGAAAGGCUAAGCAUCAACAUGGAAAUGUUUCAUAUGCCACCUCAGCUGCUGCCUGCUCUUGAAAUGUUCGCCAAAAAGGAGAUGAAAAUCGAUCUCUAUCUCGUACAACAUUUCAUAUCUGGCUCAGGGUCGUCUGAUGUGUAUCUGAAGACCCUGAUGCAAUCAGAGUCAUCGUGCAACUUACGGGAAUUCUACGGUAAGCUGUCAGUUGAUGGAAUACAGCUUCUUCCUAGCAGUCUGAAAGUACUGCUGGUGCGCACUGACUGGGACGGCUUAAGAUCAUUGUUAUCGACACUACCACAGCUGCAGAAUUUACGUGUCUUCCAAAUAGCAAUGGAGGAUGGAGGAGCUCGGCCGAGUCCCGAAAGCCUGGACCGGCUAUCCUUCAGCGGCGAAGAACUAAGCAUACGGAGCCCUUGCCCGCUGCCGAAGGACGACGUCGGGUGGUGGUUCCAGGUGGCCCAGCGUCUUCUCCCGCAGGGGAAGGAGUACGCGGUCUUCAUUGUCUACCCAGAAACACGCGGCGCCGCAGAGGAGGCGCUGAAGGAGUUCCAUCACAAGGGCGCCCUCGCGGAGUUGUUCUACGUGACGCCCGCCUCCCCGCUCUCCGAGGGCGACUUGGACGAUCUGAAGCGACUGGCCGCUUUCCUCGGCGUCUCGGCAAUUUUCGAAUAGAGAAAUGUAAGAAAUUCACUGAUCAAAAGGCCUAGUUUCAUAUCGUAAAGGGAAGCGACAUCUUAGAGCAGAAGAUUCUUAAUUGUUGUCUAUCGGCUUAGCAGUUGUAUGAUCUGUAAAGAAUGGACGGCCAGAUUUUUGUCUUCUGGUUUGCCUUGUUCAUAGGCCUCUCACAGCUGGUGUCUGCCGAAGAGCUCACCCAGGAACCUCACCAGAUUGACCUUGGAAACAUUCUGGCCAUUAUCGUGCUCUUGGUCAUGGGGAUAUUAGGGGGUCUGGCAUGCUUAGGGUCCUAUGCUAGGAAUCACUUGAGAAAUUCAUAUUAACCUUUGCAUUUCUUGUGCAUUUAAUCCACUGCUGCUGGGUAUGACAUGUACAUGGUGCCAUGUCUACUGUGAGUUUACUCUAUUUAUUGUGUUUACGCAAAAUGACUACAAGAGCUUGGUCACCUAGGGGUCAAUUACUAGUCUACAGUACCUCACCUGUUUUCUCUUUUCCGUAGGUUUUAAUGUUUUUUUUUUUUUUUUUUUUUUUUUUUUGCACAUUGCUAUUAUUAUUAUGAUGACAUUUUAUUAUCAUAAUGUCAAAAAUGAUUAUAACUAUAUUGAUAUUAAUAGGAUUAGAAAAUUAUAAAAAAAUUCCCCAAAUAUUCAAGGAUUGGAGAAAUCAGGGAGAUCAUGUAGUACUAAUUGACUCAUAGGUAACUGAGCACUUGCAAAGCCAACAGUGUGUAAAUAUGAUUCAAGUACCUGGUGCCAGUGGGUUAAUCUCUUGUUUAUUUAGUGUGUGAGAAGGGUCCAGUUGACUGCUUUUGUAGGAUGAUGAUGGAUGAUAUAAAAUUUCUUAGUUGGCUGUAGAUCAGCUUUGUGAAUAUUAAUUUUAUUGUCAUACUAUUGCUGUCAAGUAUUUCUUAAAUGAAAUUCUUGAAUUUUAUGUUUUGAGUUCACUCUCAUGGAUGCAUACCUAGUAUUUAUUCUUCUAAAGGAGAUAUAGUUUUUAUUCCAGUAGGAUAUUUGAAAUGAUCUAAGAGUGAGAAUGAGUUUUAAAUUCACUCUUGUAUUUGAUAAGUAUAUUGUUGGUGUUAUAUUGUUCUCGGAAAGAAUACAAUGUGACCCAGUUUCUCUAAGCUCUUCUUUCUGUUGUUUUGCAUUUCUCUUAGUUCUUCCAGUGUUCUCAUCUAUACUGACCCAAGUCUAGUCUUCAUAAUUAUGGGAGAUGUAUCUUGUUCUGGAAAUUUUAUGGAAUUGUUUGUAUGUUAUAGAUAUUAUUUCCUGUUAGUAAAAUUUGAAGCAUGAAAGAUCAUACCUGUGCACCAUGUCUGUCAGAAGUGUUGUCUUAAUAAUGCUUGUAAACUUGUCAAAGAGUUUUCCAAAGAUUACAUCAUUCCUUUGUUUUUUGUGUCUUCUUGAUGGAAUUCCACAUGGUCUUUGACAUUGUAUUUAUGCUUCAUGAAGAAAUUUUGUGCAUUAUCCCUAAGAAAACUACAAUUAAUAUAUGAAAUACUGAAGAGUGAUCUAUAACCUAUUGGGUCAUAGAUUUGUGAUAUAUUAUCUUUUUUACAAUUUAUAAUAAAAUUUUCAGUAGCUGA